rnacentral:lncRNA from 1 species
CACAGGCUUGCCACUGAACAUUGCAAUAAAUCUUAUCAUUCCCAGGUUGCCUAGAGGACAUUAUUAAAAAGAAACAAAACCAGUUUUGUGUUCAACAGGUGAGUAUUUCUAUGUGUGAUAAAUCAUAAAUAUCCCCCUUUGUGGCAGAAGAGCAUGUACACUGCAUGCGUUAUCACUACAUUUGCAUUCUGAGAACCUCUUAACAACAUAAUGCUCUUCAAAGUGCUUUUCAAAAACUGACCUUCACUCUUUAAACAUCUCCUUAGGGUAACUAUCUUUUGUGUUAUAAAUGUAUUUUUUUACUUCUAAUUCCAUGGACUUUUCCCUGUUCUUUUUGGGCUUUUUUCUUCAGCUUGAGGAUAAUGGAGUGUUAGAGAGAAGUACCAUUUUCCAGUUGAAGUAAAAGUUUGUACAUAUAUUUUGAAAUAAUUUAAGUAAGAUUUAUACAGAUGAGAAAUUUUGAAUUUUCUUUUGUAGAUGCUGAGGUGUGUUCCAUUACAUAAUUUUUUAAACUUGGAAAGUUCUGAUGUCAAUAUAUGCAGUUUGUAUGGCUUUCAAAACAGCGAUGUGCUGAGCACAUGAAUUCCAGUGCUCUGCUUUCCCCAAACCCUAAGCAAAUUAUUCUAGACAGACAGUUUUAUCUAACAAAAAUUCCUGAUGUUUGUUAUGAAAGCAGCUACAGACAUAUUAAUAUUUUCAAGUUCUUUUUCUUUCUUUUGUCUAACCAAUGUAUAUUCUGUCAAAGUGACCUUAGAAGUGUUUACAAUCAGUUUCUGGAAAGUUGUGUAUUUGUUUGUUGGCUUAAAAUGCCAGUUUUUUACCUCUGCAAUUUAUUGCUAAGUUGCCCUAAAAGUAGAGGUAUAAAUUACUUCCCAUACAAAACUAGGAUUCUUCAGUAAACCGUAUCAGAAGAAUACUACAAGCAUUCUUAUUUUUUAACUCAAUGUCACUUUCUUAAAAAUAUUUUUCUUUGAGUUAUUUCCUGCAAAGAAGAACAGGAAUAUUUCAACAGACUGAUUAAUUUUUCACUUGUUUAUGUGAAUUCUGAUCCUAGGUGUAAAACUUUUAUCUACUUGUAUCUAAUUUAACCCUGUUUGAGAACCUUAUUUAAAAAGCAGCCUGCAGUUCCUACCUAAUUCUGUCUCAUUGUUUGCUCUUUGUGAAUUGUACUAACAGGUCCUAUUUUCUCUCCAUAUUUGUUGUUUUUGAAGGAUUCAUUAAUUUCUUCAGGGAGUAAACUUAACCUGCAGAUGGUUCACAAAUGGUAUAUAACAAUUAUUCUUGACUGCUUUGCUUUCUGACUGGAUAAUUUUUGCAGUAAAGCAAGAUCUGUUUGUGCAGAUGUUGGUUCAUCAUUACUUUAGUCCAGACUACAUCAUGAGGCACUGCACUGUGGUACAAUAAGUGGAGAUACAUCCAGGGAUUGUAACCUAUCAACAAUGGCAAAUUAAAUGUGGAUUAAUGAUGGUAUAUGAAUUAUGAACUAUAAUUUCCCUGCUACUAAAAAAGCAUCUGAUCAAAAUUAGCAGUUGUAACUACUCAUUGAAGAGCAUUUACAAAAAGUAUUUAUGUAACACAUGCACCAAUAGGCACAAACAAAGCCAAAGAAAUACAUUUUUUAAAUAAAUUAGGUAGUUAAAGAAAGUAAACAUUUCUGAAACAUAUUUAUGCCAGACUUUCUCUGCAAGCUUAAUGUGGUAUGUGUAAUAUACACUUUAAUAUUUGUUUGUAUCAUGAUCAAAUUAAGUAUGCUGUGAAACAGUACCAGAGAAUCUAGGAAAGAAAUUCAGACAUUUGAUGCCAGAAAGAACACUGCAUGAUAGCAGACUGAACACUGAUG